GCCUGGGUGGCUCAGUGGUUGAGCGCCUGCCUUCGGCCCAGGACAUGGUCCUGGAGUCCUGGGAUCGAAUCCCACAUUGGGCU
rnacentral:tRNA from 1 species